GAUGAACGCUGACAGAAUGCUUAACACAUGCAAGUCGACUGGAAUUCUUCUUCGGAAGAUAGUACGGUGGCGGACGGGUGAGUAACGCGUAAAGAAUUUGCCCUUCAGACUGGGACAACUAAUCGAAAGGUUAGCUAAUACCGGAUAUUAUGAGACCUUGGCAUCAAGGACUUAUGAAAGCUAUAUGCGCUGGAGGAGAACUUUGCGUUCCAUUAGCUAGUUGGUAGGGUAAUGGCCUACCAAGGCGACGAUGGAUAGCCGGCCUGAGAGGGUGAACGGCCACAAGGGGACUGAGACACGGCCCUU
rnacentral:rRNA from 1 species